rnacentral:rRNA from 1 species
UGUGCCUACGGGACGCAGCAGUGAGGAAUAUUGGUCAAUGGGCGCGAGCCUGAACCAGCCAAGUCGCGUGAGGGAUGACGGCCCUACGGGUUGUAAACCUCUUUUGUCGGGGAGCAAAAGACGCCACGCGUGGCGUUCCGAGAGUACCCGAAGAAAAAGCAUCGGCUAACUCCGUGCCAGCAGCCGCGGUAAUACGGAGGAUGCGAGCGUUAUCCGGAUUUAUUGGUUUAAAGGGUGCGCAGGCGGAAGAUCAAGUCAGCGGUAAAAUUGAGAGGGUCAACCUCUGCGAGCCGUUGAAACUGGUU